CAUAUCAAUAAGCGGAGGAAAAGAAACUAACAAGGAUUCCCCUAGUAACUGCGAGUGAAGCGGGAAAAGCUCAAAUUUAAAAUCUGGCAGUCUCUGGCUGUCCGAGUUGUAAUCUAGAGAAGUGUUAUCCGCGCUGGACCGUGUACAAGUCUCCUGGAAUGGAGCGUCAUAGAGGGUGAGAAUCCCGUCUUUGACACGGACUGCCAGGGCUUUGUGAUGCGCUCUCAAAGAGUCGAGUUGUUUGGGAAUGCAGCUCAAAAUGGGUGGUAAAUUCCAUCUAAAGCUAAAUAUUGGCGAGAGACCGAUAGCGAACAAGUACCGUGAGGGAAAGAUGAAAAGAACUUUGGAAAGAGAGUUAAACAGUACGUGAAAUUGCUGAAAGGGAAACGCUUGAAGUCAGUCGCGUUGGCCAGGGAUCAACCUUGCUUUUGCUUGGUGCACUUUCUGGUUGACGGGUCAGCAUCAAUUUUGACCAUUGGAAAAAGGUCAAGGGAAUGUGGCAUCUUCGGAUGUGUUAUAGCCCUUAGCUGCAUACAAUGGUUGGGAUUGAGGAACUCAGCACGCCGCAAGGCCGGGUUUUAACCACGUACGUGCUUAGGAUGCUGGCAUAAUGGCUUUAAUCGACCCGUCUUGAAACACGGACCAAGGAGUCUAACAUGCCUGCGAGUGUUUGGGUGGAAAACCCGAGCGCGCAAUGAAAGUGAAAGUUGAGAUCCCUGUCGUGGGGAGCAUCGACGCCCGGACCAGACCUUUUGUGACGGUCCCGCGGUAGAGCAUGUAUGUUGGGACCCGAAAGAUGGUGAACUAUGCCUGAAUAGGGUGAAGCCAGAGGAAACUCUGGUGGAGGCUCGUAGCGAUUCUGACGUGCAAAUCGAUCGUCAAAUUUGGGUAUAGGGGCGAAAGACUAAUCGAACCAUCUAGUAGCUGGUUCCUGCC
rnacentral:rRNA from 1 species